GGACUGGUAGUUUCCUCGCUGUCCAACUCCCCUUCCACCCGUGGGAGCUCAGGACAGGAGGUGAAGUCACUCUCUCAAGGUCUGAAUGCUUCAAUACUGAAUAUAAACUCCAGGGUCCUCAAGGACAGCUCCCUGUUUUUAUGCCAAUCACAGGGCCCAGAGCAGAAUACCUUCUCUACUGGGUGAGUAAAACCUGCAGUGGGGACAGGAUGGAGGGGCUGGGGUAAUGCUCAACAGUAGAGCACUUGCCUAGCAUCUGCAUCCCUAGCACUGCAAAAAAUGUAAAUAAAAUAAAGCAGAAAUAAAUAAAUAAAACCAAAAAGCACAUGGGAAUAGGUACAGCUCAUGUUCAUAAAGCACUUUCUAUGUGCCAAGAGCCAUGAUGAGUGCCUUAUGGGAGUCAUUGACCCUGGACAUGACCCUGUGGCAGAGUGAUAACCUCAGCCUGAUUUCUAUGGUGAAGAAAAUGAGGCUGGGAAAGAUUGAGCUACUUUGCCCAAAAAUGUACAGCUAACUGGUGUCUGGGGCAGGAUUUUGACCUGGAUUUCAAAUAGAGGUUUUUAUUCUCAAGAGUUUAGAAACUUGCCCAAGGUAAGACAGGGAACUUGAGUGCCAAAUGUCUGUAGUCCUGAAAUGUUGGCCAAGAUCACUUUGUAUCGAUCCACUAAACUUAAAACAAUUACCUCAGGAAAGCAACAACCAAUUGGUGUCUCUUUCUCCCUCUUCCUCACCCAAACUUGACUUGGUACAAAAUACAUUGUAUCAGCCUCUGGUUCCCUUGCCCUUAUAUUCUUAAAAUGAUGUAUUAGUCUGUUUUCUGUCACUACAAUGAAAUAACUGAAGCUGGAUGAUGAUGAAAGAAAAGAGGUUUCAUUUAGCUCCUAGUUCUGGAGGUUCAAGGUCAGGGCUCUGGCGUUACUCAGUUCUGCUGAAGGCCUCAUGGCAAAUGACAUCACAAUCAUGGGAACAUGCGUGAAAGGAAGAGAUCACAGGGCACAGGAAACCAGAUAGCAAGAAAGGGCUAACAAUGACCUCUCACUGGGCCGUGCUUCUUAAAGUUUCCAUCAUAUUGCCACCCUGGGGACCAACACAUGAGCUCUUGGGGAACACACCCAAACCAGAUCUAAACUGUGGCAGAUGAGCACCCAUUUUUAGUAGAAGUUGUGUUCCUGAGUAAAGUGGGCAACUCUCAACAUCCAUUCAGCAAAUGUAUCUCAGGUUCCAACCUGUGCAAUGCAUGAGGCGGGGACGGGAAUGCGGAGUUCUUUCCAAUGGAGCAUCCAACCUCAAGAAUUUUAUUUAUUUAUUUUUAUUAUUUUUUUAUUAUUAGUUGUUCAAAACAUUACAAAGCUCUUGACAUAUCAUAUUUCAUACAUUUGAUUCAAGCGGAUUAUGAACUCCCAUUUUUACCCCGUAUACAGAUUGCAGAAUCACAUCGGUUACACAUCCACUGUUUUACAUACUGCCAUACUAGUGUAAAUGCACUUUCCUUCCACUUUGAACCAGGUGGACUCCAAGGAAGUUGAAAGGUGAAGCCUCCGCUGCUGUGUGGUGGUGGGUAUCGCAGGUUCAUGGAUUUGUCAGAGGAAUUUUGCAGAUAUUCGCAUUUCCUGAUGCCCAUCAGGGUGGGUCUGAAGCUCCCCGCACUGAAGGGGCCAAGUUCCUUCGUUAACAUGCAGAGACCCUGGCUGACGUCAGUGUCCGCUGAGUUAAACAGUCAAUGAGCAGAGCCAAGGAGGUCAGUAUCAAGGAAAGUAAAGAAACCAAAAGUGAGGUGGGAAACUGGAACUGCACAUUCUAGAAGCAAAGGGAUCAAUAACUAGCUUUGGAACCAUUUGUCUCUCAGAAUUUCUUUUUUUCUGAUGGAGGGUAUAAUGGAGAUUGAACCCAGGGGUGCUGUACCACUGAGCCACAUCCCCUGCCCUUUUCAUUUUUCAUUUUGAGACAGGGUCUAGCUAAGUUGCAGAGGCUGACCUUGAAUUUGCCAUCCUCCUGCCUCAGCUUCCUGAGUCUUGGGGAUUACAGGUGCCCACUACUGAGCGCCCAACUGCUGAGUCAGAAUCUUGGCUCUGCCAGUCGCUGGCUGUGUGACCUUGGCAAGUCCCGUAGCUAUUCUCAAGUUUAGUUUCAAAAUCACUAAAAUGACCCAUUAAUAUCUGCCUUGCAGGGUGAUUAGAUUAGUGACAGUGCAUGUAAAACGCCCAGCCCAGGGUCUGGCCUCUCUCUGUUUGGUAACUGUCACUAUUAUUUAAAGUCACUGGGGAUUUCCAUUAACAUUUGGCUUGUCUCUGUUGUAAAUUAAGUUGAGGUGCUCCAAAAGUAAGGCAGAAUAAUUUCUUAAACCCAAAAUCAACAGUCAGCUCAGCCACAUCUACUGAGUCUCCGUUAGGUAGAUGAUUUCUGCUUGGGCUUCCAGAGUUCCGGGCAGCUUGCUUUUUCAGUGAUGGUGAAAAGAUAAAAAUGAAGAUGCAAACAAAGCUAAGAAAGCUGAUUUUCCAAACAGCAGGCUAGAGUUCUGUGGAGAGAGACAAGGAAAUCGCCAACUUGUCCCAGCUGCAAGAGCAGACUAUCAACGAGCACCCUCUCCACUGUCACCUAGGGACGACCACCUGAGCCAGGGACCCUGGUUAGUGGUGUAAGCUGCUGUAAGAGCUCAAACUCCAAAAGGUCAGAGGCCUGAUUCACAUCAGAUCCCACAAGCCGGGUGGCCAGGAGGGAUGAGGAAGGAGGUCUCAACUCCAUCCAGACUUUCAAGGUCCCAGGUGACCACGUCUUCGCCAACUCCGACAUGUGGUCUCCAAUGCUCCUCUGUGUGGACAUCCCACCUGCAAGUGGAGGAGGAGAGACAGGACUGAAUGUGGUGAAUGUUUAUGGGGAGACUUGAAAGGUGCUUCCCACUUGACUGGCUAAAAUUCAGUCACACCUGACUGCAAAGGAGGCUGGGAAACCGUAUUUCUCUUGCUCAGGAGGAAAUGGAAAGGCAAGCUCUCAGCCAUCCAUCUCUGCCACCCAGGGCAUCUGCAAAGUCCAGGGCACCGCCUGCAAAAUCUGGGAAACCUAAGAUCUGCUCUUCCUUGUCUUUAUUCUUGCCACAGAAAUUAAUAUUUAGUUCCCGAGUCUCUUGUAUUACAGGGAAGUUUCACACAGCGCAGUGAUGAACUAGGCAGGAGAAGGAAAGAUGGCAGCCAUGGUGGGUGGACAAGGAGUCGGGAAGGGAAAAAAUCAGAGAAACUCUACGUGGAAGGAAAAAACAGACAUUCCCCCUCUUCUGCUCACAUAAGAAUGUGAAGAUGAAGUCUCUGUAGGAGAAAUCAUGUGCAUACACAGAGCUGCGGUAGCAGAUUGGGCCCUGUUUUGACAGAGCUAAAUUUAAGCCAGACCUUGCUUCUUUCGAAAAACAGGAGUGUUUGAUUGAUUGUUUCGGUGAUAUGAUCCCUGGAUGUUGUGACUGGAGUUCACUUCUCAAAAUAAUACCAUUUAUAAUGAUUUUAUCUCAUUCUGGAAGUUCCUAGAGCUCCUGAUCCCCAAGAGCCGUGGCUUCCUUCCUCAGCCCAUCUGAACCAGUCAUCCCUGGCCCUAGUUGGGCCCCAGGAGACCACUGCCCCUUCUCACGGGCUCCCUGUGGCUCAGGACAAAGGAGGUUCAGGCCCUAGCUUCCGUCACCUUCCACACCCUUCUCUCUUUCUGCAAAAACUCUGCUAUGAAACUCGUGUCACCUAAAUUUCAAUUUUUUGAAUCACGAUCCAUCAUAAGAAACGUAUUUUUUGCAUUUUGAUGCAGCACAAAACACAGAUGCAAACAAUGAAGGGAAAGGUUUCUUGAAGUAUUUUUUAUUAUUAAGAAUAAUACACUCUGAUAAUUUCUAUUUUAUUCAAUUUAAAAAGAAACACACACACACACACACACACACACGCUGCUGGGGACCCACUAAAUUAUUUAGGCACACCAUCUUUGAUCAACUGCCAUGUUGCAGUCUCACAGCCUCCCCAGGCACUGGGAUUAAACUAACAGAAUUAUUUUUUUUCUCCUUGAAGUUGAGUUCUGCAGAGAUGCUCUACUUAUCUCUUUCUACUUAUCCUUAUUCUCCUAAAGACACACCCUCCACUUUUCUCUAUUUUUAUCUUCCAAAUUUGUCACUCUGAUACCUAACUGAGCCCUCAGCCAAUUUUUAAAAAAAUAUUUUUAUUUGUAUUAGUUAUACAUAAUAGCACAAUGUAUUUUGAUGUAUUAUACAUAUAUGGAGGGUAACUUCUCAUCCUUCUGGUUGAACAUGAUGUAGAUUUACAUUGGUCAUGGAAUCACAUAUGAUCCCUGGAUGUUGUGACUGGAGUUCACAACAUCCUAUCAUAGGAUAGUAAUGUCUGAUUCAUUCUGCUGUCUUUCCUAUUCCCAAUCCCUCUCCCUUCCCUUUAUUCCCAUUUGCCUAAUCCAAGUAUUUCUAUUCUUCCCUACACCCUCCUUAUUGUGAGUUAGCAUAUACAUAUCAGAGAGAACAUUUGGCCUUUGCUUUUUUGGGAUCGGCUUAUGUCACGAAGCAGAUAUUCUCCAGUUCCAUCCAUUCACAGACAAAUGCCAGAAUUUUAUUCUUCUUUAUGGCUGAGUAAUAUUCCAUUGGGUACAUAUACCACAUUUUCUUUAUUUAUCUGUUGAAGGGCACCUGGGUUGGGUCCAUAGUUUAGCUAGGACGUCAGUCUGUUAUUCUUCCAGCCCCCCAUCCUCUUAUCCCCUCUUGACCCACACUCAAGCUUCUAGAAAGCUUCAGACCCACGUGCUUCCAUUGCCCACUUUCAUCAGAAUCUUUCUGACUUUGCCUCCCCGCCAUCUACAUAGACUCCAUGACCACAAAUAUCCCAUCUGCCCAGCGCUCCACCACUGGGCAUGAGUCACCCGGCUCUGUCCUUAGGAUAGCUGAGCCUGCAGCCUGGCCAUCAACCCAAGGCCGAGGACCAGAAAGCGCAGACAUAGAGUCUGGGCCAGGCCUACUGCGCGGGUGGAGUCCAUGUCUAGACUCCCCUCUGCUCUUCAUUCCUUGGCUCAUGGUAGUCUGUGUCCCGACCUCCGUGUGGUCACACAGAGGGACACUGUGGGCCGACGCUUGGUCCUUUAUCUACUCUCUCUGCAACAGCUCAGAGCACUGCCAGCCUCAGACUCUCCCCCUCUACUCUGAGGGCUCCCUCUUCCCGGCUCUCUUCGUCCCUCUCUGGGAGUCCUUCUGGGGCCUGCUCCUCAGCCCCUUCUCUGCUGCCGUCUGCAGGCGCCUCCUCUUCCCAUGGCCCUGUGCAAUGCCAGGAAAACCCAUGGCACUGCGGAUCUCUCCUGCCACCGGGUGAGGAUGCUCCUCGUCACUGUACCCCAGGUCCCGGCUCCUCCCUGGGCUUCUUAGCCAGUGCGAGAGCCCCUCCCCUGGAGUCCAAUGGACCCUUUUCCAAGGCCCCGCCCGGUUCCCCAUGAAGUGGAUCUUCCCCCACUUGACGCUUCCCGGUGUUUCUCAGCGCACUAAGAAAAUUCCGUAAUUGUCUCUGAGGUCUUCCAGGCUCUGGGUCCCACGGAUCUAGCCUGCAGCGUCCUCCCCUCUUCGCCAUCUUCAGGCUCCUUCCUCGGGAUCACUCUGCUCAACCCAUGCUGCUCCUGGCUGUCCCUCCCGUGUGUCAAGGAGGCGCUGGUCCCCAGGCAUUUGCCCCUGUUUCUCCUCUGCCCCAUUCGCCCCGCCCUGGAUCAGAGAGCACAAACCCCCUUCCUCCUGUCCCUCAGGUUGCUGCUGAGACGGCAGCUGCUGCUCUGCUCAGCCCCGUGACUCCCUGUCCCCUCCCCGCUGUUUCUCUCGAACCCACGGGGUGUGUCUGUUACCUGCUGGCCCUUCCUGGGACGUUUCUCGGUUUCGCUGGCUCCUGGGCACCUAGGGGCUCCACAUGUCACCGACAGGUGAGUGGCCAGUCUCUCCUCCCUCCCCGUCCCUGCCCCCCACCUCCGCUUCUCCAAGACUCUGUAAAAGUCUGUGAUUUUCCCAGGCUAAUCCAGAAGCCUGGCCAUUGGCCUCCUUCGGUCACCCUCCAGCAAGUCUACCUCCAUCUUCUGGUCUCUCCAGCCUCACUGCCGCAGCCUUAGUUGAGUGUAACGAAUCCUCCAAAGUUUCCUGGAAGCGCUGGGUCCACCUCCCAGGAAAACACACGCACAAACACACUUUUCACACCAGGGUUUCUAGAUUCUCCAAAACCCAGGGAGAGCCCCCUUCUGUAGGUGCCACUCUGCCACUCCUCUAGAUGACGGUGCCCUUGGGCAGGUCUCCCUGCCACUGGCCCCACCCAUUUGCUCUGCUCUCCACGGGACAGCAGGUGUGCCCAUGGUCCCCUACGUGUUUCUGGAACACCCGCUGAAGGUUCUCCAUCACCCUAAGAAUGAACACCCAAGUCCUUGUGUGUCUGCGCAGAGUUGCUGGCUCCUCCAGCCUCAGUCCUCUGGAGCUCUAUUCUCAGCCAGGGNUCUUGAAGUAUUUUUUAUUAUUAAGAAUAAUACACUCUGAUAAUUUCUAUUUUAUUCAAUUUAAAAAGAAACACACACACACACACACACACACACGCUGCUGGGGACCCACUAAAUUAUUUAGGCACACCAUCUUUGAUCAACUGCCAUGUUGCAGUCUCACAGCCUCCCCAGGCACUGGGAUUAAACUAACAGAAUUAUUUUUUUUCUCCUUGAAGUUGAGUUCUGCAGAGAUGCUCUACUUAUCUCUUUCUACUUAUCCUUAUUCUCCUAAAGACACACCCUCCACUUUUCUCUAUUUUUAUCUUCCAAAUUUGUCACUCUGAUACCUAACUGAGCCCUCAGCCAAUUUUUAAAAAAAUAUUUUUAUUUGUAUUAGUUAUACAUAAUAGCACAAUGUAUUUUGAUGUAUUAUACAUAUAUGGAGGGUAACUUCUCAUCCUUCUGGUUGAACAUGAUGUAGAUUUACAUUGGUCAUGGAAUCACAUAUGAUCCCUGGAUGUUGUGACUGGAGUUCACAACAUCCUAUCAUAGGAUAGUAAUGUCUGAUUCAUUCUGCUGUCUUUCCUAUUCCCAAUCCCUCUCCCUUCCCUUUAUUCCCAUUUGCCUAAUCCAAGUAUUUCUAUUCUUCCCUACACCCUCCUUAUUGUGAGUUAGCAUAUACAUAUCAGAGAGAACAUUUGGCCUUUGCUUUUUUGGGAUCGGCUUAUGUCACGAAGCAGAUAUUCUCCAGUUCCAUCCAUUCACAGACAAAUGCCAGAAUUUUAUUCUUCUUUAUGGCUGAGUAAUAUUCCAUUGGGUACAUAUACCACAUUUUCUUUAUUUAUCUGUUGAAGGGCACCUGGGUUGGGUCCAUAGUUUAGCUAGGACGUCAGUCUGUUAUUCUUCCAGCCCCCCAUCCUCUUAUCCCCUCUUGACCCACACUCAAGCUUCUAGAAAGCUUCAGACCCACGUGCUUCCAUUGCCCACUUUCAUCAGAAUCUUUCUGACUUUGCCUCCCCGCCAUCUACAUAGACUCCAUGACCACAAAUAUCCCAUCUGCCCAGCGCUCCACCACUGGGCAUGAGUCACCCGGCUCUGUCCUUAGGAUAGCUGAGCCUGCAGCCUGGCCAUCAACCCAAGGCCGAGGACCAGAAAGCGCAGACAUAGAGUCUGGGCCAGGCCUACUGCGCGGGUGGAGUCCAUGUCUAGACUCCCCUCUGCUCUUCAUUCCUUGGCUCAUGGUAGUCUGUGUCCCGACCUCCGUGUGGUCACACAGAGGGACACUGUGGGCCGACGCUUGGUCCUUUAUCUACUCUCUCUGCAACAGCUCAGAGCACUGCCAGCCUCAGACUCUCCCCCUCUACUCUGAGGGCUCCCUCUUCCCGGCUCUCUUCGUCCCUCUCUGGGAGUCCUUCUGGGGCCUGCUCCUCAGCCCCUUCUCUGCUGCCGUCUGCAGGCGCCUCCUCUUCCCAUGGCCCUGUGCAAUGCCAGGAAAACCCAUGGCACUGCGGAUCUCUCCUGCCACCGGGUGAGGAUGCUCCUCGUCACUGUACCCCAGGUCCCGGCUCCUCCCUGGGCUUCUUAGCCAGUGCGAGAGCCCCUCCCCUGGAGUCCAAUGGACCCUUUUCCAAGGCCCCGCCCGGUUCCCCAUGAAGUGGAUCUUCCCCCACUUGACGCUUCCCGGUGUUUCUCAGCGCACUAAGAAAAUUCCGUAAUUGUCUCUGAGGUCUUCCAGGCUCUGGGUCCCACGGAUCUAGCCUGCAGCGUCCUCCCCUCUUCGCCAUCUUCAGGCUCCUUCCUCGGGAUCACUCUGCUCAACCCAUGCUGCUCCUGGCUGUCCCUCCCGUGUGUCAAGGAGGCGCUGGUCCCCAGGCAUUUGCCCCUGUUUCUCCUCUGCCCCAUUCGCCCCGCCCUGGAUCAGAGAGCACAAACCCCCUUCCUCCUGUCCCUCAGGUUGCUGCUGAGACGGCAGCUGCUGCUCUGCUCAGCCCCGUGACUCCCUGUCCCCUCCCCGCUGUUUCUCUCGAACCCACGGGGUGUGUCUGUUACCUGCUGGCCCUUCCUGGGACGUUUCUCGGUUUCGCUGGCUCCUGGGCACCUAGGGGCUCCACAUGUCACCGACAGGUGAGUGGCCAGUCUCUCCUCCCUCCCCGUCCCUGCCCCCCACCUCCGCUUCUCCAAGACUCUGUAAAAGUCUGUGAUUUUCCCAGGCUAAUCCAGAAGCCUGGCCAUUGGCCUCCUUCGGUCACCCUCCAGCAAGUCUACCUCCAUCUUCUGGUCUCUCCAGCCUCACUGCCGCAGCCUUAGUUGAGUGUAACGAAUCCUCCAAAGUUUCCUGGAAGCGCUGGGUCCACCUCCCAGGAAAACACACGCACAAACACACUUUUCACACCAGGGUUUCUAGAUUCUCCAAAACCCAGGGAGAGCCCCCUUCUGUAGGUGCCACUCUGCCACUCCUCUAGAUGACGGUGCCCUUGGGCAGGUCUCCCUGCCACUGGCCCCACCCAUUUGCUCUGCUCUCCACGGGACAGCAGGUGUGCCCAUGGUCCCCUACGUGUUUCUGGAACACCCGCUGAAGGUUCUCCAUCACCCUAAGAAUGAACACCCAAGUCCUUGUGUGUCUGCACAGAGUUGCUGGCUCCUCCAGCCUCAGUCCUCUGGAGCUCUAUUCUCAGCCAGGGUUAUUCUGAAAAGCCACUCAGACCCCUGUGCCCUUGAACCUCCUUUGCCACUCCUGCUCUUACCUCCCAGAUACUUGGCUACCUGCCCCUCAUCUUCUGCCGAACAGCUCAGGGAUUAUCAAGGAAGUACUCCCUAAUCUCCUGGGGCCCCUCUUCCCAUUGGACUGAGUUGUGGUUAUUAUCUAGACCAUGUCCCCUUCCAGAGGUUCCUCGCUGCGUCAAAGGCUGUCCUCAUCUCUUUAGCACAUAGUAGGUGCUCAAUAAAUUAUGUUAAAAAGACUGGAUGGAGUGAUCAGGUGAAAGGAGAGAGAGGUGGAAGCAGCACAUUUGGGGUUCAUAAAAAAUGGGGCAGGCACAGCUAACACCGUUUCCAAAACAGGAACAUCCAUAUUUAGAGGAGAGAUAAACUGGACAGUUCUUUCAUUUACAAAAAGGAUUCACCACCAGGGGCCUCUAACAAGCAGGUGCUUUAACCGUUCUAUGUAAGUGUCUGCGUGCGGAUCAUCAAUCAUUUCACAAAGAGGCCAAAAGCUAACCGGCAGCCAAUGGGAGCCUCAGAACAGAGUCACGAGGCUCCUGAAGCUACUCAGCAAAACAGCAGGAAGGAGGAUUCUGAUGGUUAACUGUUCAACAAGCUCCUCACUCUUCAGGAAGAAGCGGGGGAAAGCAGGCAGAAGAGGAAGACGAAGAAACCCACGGGGACGGGAGCGACAGGUUUGAGAAGACUAGCUGCACCACCCAUCGGCUGGCCUUUAAGCAAGGGCCUUGCCCCUGCGUCCAGGAGAGAGGGGUUCCAGAAUGAUGGCCGACGAGUGGCGCCGUCAGCAAUGACAAAGGGAGAUGAGGAUGCGGAAAGGUCUGGUCUGGCCUUCACGGUGCACAGGACGAGUUGGCUGGAUUUCCCCGGGCACAAGUCCGCAGGCUCAUUCAUCUUCUCACCAAGUGUCCAUAGAGCACAGGGACCUGUCAGGCCCUGGGCUGGCCACCAGAGGGGCAGAGCUGAGCCAGGUCUUUGCAAACCCUUCCUCUGGAGGCCCUCGUGCUUCAGAGGGAGCAAGCAACAAGCAAAAAAGCAAGUUUCCUAUGGAGAAAGUGGAGCGCAGGAGUCUGAGGGUGAGGUGGCAGGGAGGGCGGGACACCAGGGCCUUCAGGAAGAGAGGUGGCAAAGCCUCCCUGAGCGGAUAUGUCUGAACCACACCUGAUGCCUGGAGAAAAGCAUUCCAGCAAAGGGGACCAUAAGAACAUUCCAGAAAUAAAAUGGAGGUCACUACGGCUGGAGUUCACGGAGAGGGCAAGGGUUGGAUGAGGCUAGAGGCUAGACUUCCAGAAAGAAAACUGUGGAAUUAUUGUAAAAAACAAAAAUAAGAGGUCACUGAAGGGAUCUCAUCAGAAGAUCGCGAGGUGGAUUUCCUGACAAUUAUUUUGGAGGGGAAUGGGGUACAGGGAAGAGGAAGGCCACUGAGCACCAGUGAGCUGGCCACUGCAGAGGUCCAAGCAGCAGGCAGUGGUGGCUUGGAUCAGGAGGGUGGCAGUGAGGGCAGAGAGCGAGGACAGAUUCCAGACCCAGGGCUGAUGGCGGGUGCGGGGGAGUGGGGGGCACAGAGCUGUCGUGAAUGAUGACAGGAGGGAUCUCUCUGAGGUCAUUUCAGACAUUCUGUGACUGUGACCUAGGUACCCCAGCUAUAGAGGUUGACCCCCUAGUGAGGGGAUCUGCUUGGCCUUGAAGCUGGGCAGAGCUGUGCUUGGGCCACACUGUGAUUGUCACAGGCCCAUGGGUCGGGGGUGAGGAUACUUGUAAACCGGUCACUCGAGAAACCAAGAAGAGAUGCAUCCUGUCAUCUGAAGUUCCUGGGGCUACAUCUCCUGCGUCUUCUCCUUUGCUCUUGGCCAUGUUCCCAGCACUCCUAGAUCAGGGAUAGUGUCACUCAUCCAGCCAGCAAACAACCAAUGAUCUUGGACACCUCUGCUGCACACAGACCUGGGUCAGGCGGGUUGCUCACGAUUUGCUCCCUGUGUGGCAUCUCCCACCUUCCAGAGGAAGGGAGAGGCUACGGCUGUCUCCCCAACAACCUCAUGAUCGCAGUGAGUCCCGGAGUAGCUCUGCCUCCCAUAGAGACAGGUACCAGAAAGCAAGCAUGACACGGUCACAUGACCAGACCUGACGCUCUGUGGAGUCCCAGCUCGCUGUGGUCUAGGCCCCAGAGUGCUCUCUAUGUGAAGGGCUCACCUUGAGGGUGACGGGACAAUAUCCCACUGCAGGGUUCAGCUACCCCAGACCAGUGGUUCUCACCUGGAACAGACUGUGUCCUCCAGAUGUUGCCUGAGGGGCAACACCUUUGGUUUAGGUGACUGGGAAGGUUUCGUGCCAGGGGUGGAAGCCAGGGAUACUGCUAAGCACCUGCAGCGUGGUCAGUCGACCCUGGGGGAUGUCCACCCUCCUCCUCACCUAGAUAUGGAAUCCUGUCUUCCCUCCUUCUCUUCUGCUGCCCUUGGCUGGCCCUUCAGUGCUGCAGGCAAAGCCCUCAGCCCUCCGGCUCCCUCUACUCCAAUGUCCCCACUUGACAUCAGACUCCUCUCCCCAAACUAGUAAUGGCAACCUGUUUUUACAAAUUUUCCAGUAGCUUCUCACUGCAGGAUGAACUGUGACUCCCCGCCCCCCUCCUGCCUCUUCUCUCUUUGCAUGUUUUAUUUCAACGUCUUGGAGUCGCUUUAAUAGACCAGGCUGUCUGCAACUCUGUGCCUUUCUGCUCCGGGCUCCUCUACCUGGAAGGUCCUGCUGUCCCUCGUCCCCCCUCACUCUCACCUUUCUAGGUGCCCAGAUCCUGAGCCUCAACUCAAAUUUGCCUGCUCCUUGGGUUGUUCUGGGCUGUCCUUGGGGCUCCUUCCUGACAUUGUCCAAACUUUCAUUAAAUCAGAUGUCACAACUGUCUCCUUGGUUUUUUAAUAUUUAUUUUUUAGUUGUAGGUGGGCACAAUAUCUUUAUUUUAUUUUCAUGUGGUGCUGAGGAUCGAACCCAGUGCCCCACAUAUGCUAGACGAGCGCUUUACCUCUGAGCCACAGCCCCAGCCCCACAACUCCCUUCUUGUUCUGUGACUCUUUGUCAACAUCCCUCCUGGACUGUAAGCUCUUUUAUGGCACAGUGUGUGUCCAGCUCAUUGGCCCAGCGUGCUAUCUGCCACAUACCAGGCUACAGCUAGAUAUUUAUAUGAUGAAUGAUCACUUUUCAUACCCUUAGUUGUCUGUUGUCUAGUUUUUGCUUGUUUGUUUUGUUUUUAGCAGAUUCAAAAUUCUUCAAGUUUUCAGGGAAUAUGAAGCAAUACCAAUGAGAUAGUGUGGCUGUUUUCAAAUACCAAUGAGCCUAAAAAUCAUCUUUUUAAAAAAAUAUUAUUCUAUAAUCAGCAUUAGGCACUCUUAAAAAAUAUAUAUAUAUUUUUAAAAUUUUUUUAUGAGGUGCUGAGGAUCAAACCCAGUGCCUCACAUGUGCUAGGGAAGUGCUCUACCACUGAGCCACAACCCCAGCCCCCUAAGAAUCAUCUUAGAAAUUUGUUUUAAAUAUAGAUUCCCAGGACCCACAUAGCUGGACAGUUUUUAGGAAUUAUAAUUAAUAUAUCUUAAAGCUCACUUUUUCUUUGUGGAGUUCAGUGUUUUCUAGCAUUUUCAAGCAUUUUUCAUAUGUUGGUAUUUUAAUUGGUACAAUUGUCACCACUAAUUCUAGAAUGUUUCUAUCAGCCCCAAAAGAAACCCAUGUUCAGUAGCGGUCACUCCGCUUCCCUCCUCCUAGACCUGGUGACCACUAAAGUACUGUUAUGGUUUGAAUGUGAGGUGUCCCCCCAAAGCUCACGUGUGAGACAGUCAAGAAGGUUCAGAGGACAAAUAAUUGGGUUGUAAAAGUCUUAACCAAAUCAGUGACUUAAUCCCCUGAUAGGGAUUAACUGAGUGGUACUGGAAGUGGUGGGGUAUGGCUGGAGGAGGUGGGAAUUGGGGCAUGGCUGGAGGAGGUGGGAAUUGGGGCGUAGCUUGGGGAUCUAUUUGAAUCUGGCGAGUGGAGUUGCUCCCUGCCUCCUGAUCACCAGGUGAGCUCCUUCCUUCCAUCAUACUAUUCCACCAUGAUGUUCUGCCUCAUCUUGAGCCCUGAGGAAUGGAGCUGGCCUUCUGUGGACUGAGACCUCUGAAACCAGGAGCCCUCAAAUAAACUUUUCUUCUUUUAUAAUUGUGCUGGGCAGAUCCUUUUAGUCACAGCAGUGAAAAAGCAGGCUAAAAUACUUUCUGGUCUUCAUCGGUUAGUCCAUUCUGGAUAUUUCCUAUCAGUGGAAUAAUACACUGUGUGGUCUUUUGUGAAUGGCUUCUUUCACUUAGCACAAUGUUUCCAAGAUUCAUUUGGUAGUGUGUUUUGGUACUUCGUUAUUUUUUAUGACUGAAGAAUAUUAAUUGUGUGUGUAUAUAUAUGUCUCCUUUGAUUUGCUGUGUCAUAAAAAAUGAUUUUUAUGUCUCAGUUUGGUUUGUUUUCACUUUUUGGGCUAUAAGAAUACUGAUACGAACAUUUGUGUGAAUAUGUUGAACAUCUAUGUUCAAUUCUCAUGGGUACAGAGAGAAUUGCUAGGUCAUGUGGUAACUCUAUUUAACUCUGCUUACUGUUUUCUACAUCAGCUGAAAUAUGCUACAUUUUUAUUAGGGGCAGAGAAGGUUUCCUUCUCACAGACUCACCAGAUUUUUAUUAUAGUUGUCCUACUAGUGAUAUUCUUUUGUGGUUUUGCUUUGCCUCUCUCUGAUGAGUAGAAUGGUGGUUAAUUUUAGGUGUCAACCUGACUGGUUUAAGGAUACCCAGACAACUGGCGAAGCAUUACUUCUGGAUAUGUCCACGAGGGUGCUUCUGGAAGUGAUUGGCAUUUGAAUCCAUGGACUGAGUAAGGAGGAUUUCCACUUUACCCAAUAUGGGUGAGCAACAUCCAAUUGCUUGAGGGCCAGAUAGAACAAAAAAGGCAGAGGAAAGAUGAAUUCUUCCUCUCUUCUGGAGGUGGGACACACAACUUCUUAACCAGCCAUUGGUUACUACUGAUCUUCAGCCUUUGGACUCCUGGGCUUACCCCAGUGGUUCCCCAGGUUCUCAGACUUUGGAUUUGGACUGAGCUAUGCCAUUGGCUUCCCUGAUUCUCCAGCUUGCAGAUGAUCUAUCAGGGGACUUCUCUGUCUCCAUAAUCACUUGAGCUAAUUUCUAUAAUAAACACCCUCUCCUCUAUCACCUAUCUAUUUAUCUACCUACUUAUCUAUGUAUCAUUUAUCUAUUUAUUCAUCCUGUUGGUUUGGUAUCUCUGGAGAACUGUGACUGAAUACAACUAGUUUUGCUGAGAAUCUUUUCAGGUGCUUAAUAUCCAUUUUUAUAUCUUCUUUGUAGAAAAGUCUGUUCAAGUGCCUUGCUCAUUUUUUUUAAAUUGGGUUGUUGUUGAUGUUGAUGAGUUGUUGGAGCUCUUUAUAUAUUUUAGAUAUUAAUCUCUUACCAGUUAUAUGAUUUGCAAAAAUUUUUCUCCCUUUUUGUUUUUUCUCUCUCUUGAUCUUGUCUUUUGAUGCACAAUUUUUAAAAUUUUGAUGAGGCCCAAUUUACCAAUUUUUCUUUUGUUGAACAGUUUGUGAUACACAGGAAACCAUUUUGUUGUUCAAAGACACAAAGAUUCAUGCCUAUUUUUUCUUCUAACAGUUUUGUAGGUAAGGUCUUACAUUUAACCAUAUAAUCUAUUUUUUAAUAUGUGUGAGGCUGGAGUCCAACCUCAUCCUUUUUGUGUGUGGUAAACAGUUGUCCCAGUAUUUGUUGGAAAGAUUUUCCCACCAAGUGGUCUUGACUCCCAUGUAGAGAAUUCACUAGUCCACUGCUUCUGGACCUUUCAUUUCUAUUUCCUGAGCCCAUAUGCCCCUGCUUAUGCCAGCAUGACACUUUCAAAUGGCCAAGGAACCACACCUGGACAAACUUUGAUCUAAAGUACAGUUGCUAUAAAUAAAGGAGAUCAUCAAGAACAAUGGUUCCCAACCAGACUAAACAUCAUAAUCAUUAUAAAGUCUUGGAGGAAAAAUAUGUCCUGGUCCCCAGGUCUCCCCUGGGGCCUCCCCUCCCCCUUGGUUUUGAUUCAGUUGGACGCAGGCAGCCUCAGGCAGCUCUGUUUUCCAACAGCCACUCUUGCCAUCAUUCCGAAUUGGAAACUGCUGGUCCAGGUGAUCAUUUAGCAUUCUCUCAACAGAAAGGAUCUGUAAUGUUAGGAAAAGAGAAAAUGCAAGGUGGAAAUUUGACACCAAAACAUGUUAACUAAGCAUUGUGUGCGUGUUUGGCAAUCAGAAGGAUCUCUCCGAUGACAAAGCUGGAGAUGCUUCUCUGAAAAGCAACUGAAGUAGGACAAGUAUGUCUCUAAGAUGGGGAGGGGCUAAUCCAGCGCUUCAGUGUUCAUGGAGAUACGGGACCUGACCCAAGCCCGGGCACAGCGUCCUCCUCCUUGUUCCCAAUGCCCCGUGGUAUGUCCGUCUCCCCAACAGACUCUGGUUCUUUUUGAACAGAAACAGGAUCUUUUCCUCUUUGGAUUCCCAAUGCCCAUCACUGUGCCUCGCACACUGCAGGUGUUCAGUGAAAUGUCAAAUUAAGCUAAACAUUUUCUAUGUUUAGUCAAAUGCAUAGCAAAUGCAUAGGUCAAAUAACAGGCCUUAUGUAAAAAUGCUAGGUAUGUGGCGCUUUGAAAACAGAACUGGGAGGGAAUUAAGCAAUGGGAUUUAAAAGAUCAUGUUGAAAAACCAAGCAAUUAUUUUUGAACCAUGGUUAUCAUUUCUGUCCCCACCCACCUGCCUACCAGCUAUCUGUCAGGGUCCCAGCAGGAAACAGAUGGCUUACAGCACUGAAUGAAGAAACUAUUCACAGAGGAGUGGGCAGAACUCAGAGGACAAGGAAUGAAGCCCCUGGGACUAACAAUAGCAAUAUGUCCUAACCAUUCUUACGCCUGCAGGAACAGAGGGACAGAGGAGGGCCCAGAACUUAGUGAGACUGGCACUGGGAGGUGGAUGCCCAGGAGGACCUGUAUCCAUAUCCAUAGAACGGGAAGAAAAGGGCAGGAGAUUUCUCUGGAAGGACAACAGAGAAUAGCCAGUAUAUCCACCCAUGAUGAGCAGGACGAUGUGGCCUGAUUCAGUGGUGACCCAUAGGGGAAAACAAGUUUAGGGAGCUGAGGUACUGCAGAUCAGCUAAGCACCGUAGUCUGUGUCUUAUCUUUCAUGCUUUCAUUAAUUCAUUCAUCAAACACUAAGUCAAAUGCUUAUUGAGUCAGGGAAGAGAUGGGGGCAGAGGAGGAGAAGGAAUGGGCAGGGUCUCUGGGGUUGAGGGAGAGACAAGAGGCAGCAUGGACGACUUGGUGCUAGAGGAUCAGGAAGUUCACAGCUGGUCCCAAAGAGCCUGCGUGAACUUCAGAGCCCAGACCAGAGGGAAAUGAUGCAAGGGGUGUAAGCAGGGAGUGGACAAGUCCAGUUUUGCCUUUCAGAGGGGCCACUCUGGCAACGGGGUAGACAAUCUAGUCUGUAAACAGGGCAAACAUUCAGGAGGUAUAUGUGUGGUGCCGGCAGGGGACUGGUAGUAGAGACAGCGAGGAGAGAGAGGUAAGUUUCAGCCAGAGCCGGUAGAGAUAUUUGAUUGAACGGGUGAUGAUGGAGACCAGGGAAGGACUGAGGUAGCAACAUCCUCAUCCCUGUAGGGAGGCCAUGGUGCUCCUCAGCAAAGUGAGAUAGUAAGGAAGGGGUGGUUGAGCAGAGAAAUGAGGAUUGCCAUUUUGGAAAUGCAGGGUGGUGCCUGUGGGAGAUGUUAGGGCCAAAGAGUUAAAUUGAAGAGAGGGAUUUGGGAGUUAUUUGCAUGUCCCAGGAGAGAGGUUGAGCUUCACCAGGGAGCGUGUGUGGUAGAGCAAGAAGAACAGUGAGUCAGAACAGGGUCCGGGGAGCACCAACAUGCGCGUGGCAGAUGGGGGAAAAGGACCAUUUCAGAUCAAGAAUGGGGAAGAGAGAAGGCAGCAUACUGAAGUUAAGGGAUCAGGAGCCUUCAAAAGAGUUGAUCCACAUUUUCAAAUGCCACUGAACAUCCUCAAAAGAAAAGGACUGAAAAUAUUCAAUUAUCAGGGAAGCUGCUGGUCAGCUUGGUGACGUUUUAAUAGUGCAGUGACUGGGAACAGAAGCCAGAUUACAAAGAGCUGAAGAGCAAAUGGACCUCUGAGCAGCAAAUUGGAAUGAAGGGAGGAGGAAGUUGAGAGGUAACUACUGGAGAUGGGGCGGGGAACUUGGGUAUACAGGCACAGGCUAAAAGGAGAUAGGAUAGGCCUCCUAAAGAUGAAACAGAGCAUUGACCAUCAAAAUCUAGCAGUAGGGGCCGGGUGCAGUGGCGCAUGCCUGUAAUCCCAGCAGCUUGGGACAGGAGGAUCAUGAGUUCAAAGCCGGCCUCAAGAAGAGCGAGGUGCUAAGCAACUCAGUGAGACCCUCUUUCUAGAUAAAAUACACAAUAGGGCUGGGGAUGUGGCUCAGUGAUUGAGUGCCCCUGAGUUCAGUUGCUGGUGCCCCAUCUCCCCCUCAAAAAUCUGUCAGUGGGCAUCAAGGGAUAGAGUAGAGAACCCAGGGAGAAGGGCUCACCUCUGAGACUGAAGGCAAAGAUGAGUGUGGACAGGAUGGUGCUCACAGACGGGAGUGGAAAGUUGCAGGAAAUGGGGUCUCAUGACCUUGAAAUUGGAGACAAAUGUAUUUGGUAAUUUGCAAGAUGAAAUUUUGAGAAGGAGCCCUGAAGAGUGUUAGAGGGCUUGGAAUGGUCACCCGGGAAUGAAGGAAUGGGAGCUCUCUCCGAACAGGUAAAGGUGAGACAGGCAAAAGGAGUACCCCGUGGAGGUUGGGGGCCAUGACUUGGGGUGGCCUGGCCUAUACAGAUGUGUCAAUCCCCCAGGAGUGCUCAGCCUACAAGAUGCAGCAAAGACAGAGUAACCAGAGCCCCCCUGGGUUUGGGUUUUGCUUAGAGAGUGCUGAGGGGAGCUGAGGAGUCGGAGGGUUCAUGAGACUUGUUGAGCCACUCUGUCCAGGACAGAGUUUGGAAGCAGGAGGAGCCUGGUGAAUGGGGAGGGCAGGGUGCAGUUCCUGGACAUGGGGACUGGAGAGAACUGGGAAGCUACACAGAUGUGACCAAAAUGUAAUUCGAUUUUACUGAAUCUGAGAGAAAGGUGAAGAGUCAACCUCAAUGCCGAGAAGUUUAUGCUACUUUUGAAACUGCUCAUCCAAAAGCAUCAAAGUCAUGUGCAGGGAGCAAAUACGUAAGAGGCAUUUCGAUCACUCUUGUCCUACAAUGAUGUCACUAAUGAUAGUUAAGGGGGUGACAGCUAUUUGAAAAGUAAAGGGAGGGACCAUCUGGAUUUUCCUGUCUUUGUCAAAUCUGGGUAAACGUUGCAGCCCUUUGUCAGGACGCUCUCCCGGAAGGGCUGGCUGUGUCUCUCCAUGAAUAAGGAAGCCCCCUUUUCAGGGAGAUUCUGCGGAUGAAAAGCAGCAAGCCUCCCAAACUUUCCAGCUGUCUUUUCUGAAUCGCCGAGUGGUUGAUCAAUGGCAAGGGGCACCUCAGUUGUGCAGAUGCAGCCAUCCCACGCUGGGUGCACCCAGACCGCAGUUCUGACAUGCAAGGGGGAAGAGCGCCCGGGACUCCUGUCAGAUCAUCAAACAGGAUGUUGGCCUGGCAGCAAGCAGGCCUGGAAGCUGUUGGCAGCCGAAUGUUGGGCUGCAGCGCCAGGCUCAGCCACAGGACGGGCGCCGUCCCAAAAGCCGAGGGGCAAUCUGUAUUCCAGUGCGCGCCCUGGGCCAUGCUGCGGACCCUCCGGCCAGACACACCAAGCCAGGCCCACGCUCGCUCGGGACCCCGAGACCGCUGUCACAGGGCACACAGGCCUCUUUGUUCAGGAAUACUGCAUGCAUGGGAGGAAGCGGCGCCCCUCGGUUCUUGCCUUCAGGCCUGGGAAGAAAGACCUCACAGUUGAGCUGCGGGCUCCCCAACAUUGGGGUCUGGGGAGGAGGGGCCUUGCUGAAAGCUAGUUGGCUGUAGCACAUCCAAAAACGGAGCUUGAAGGGGUUUGGCAAGAACCGUGGCAGAGCUUCGCGUAGGUGUCACGCAGGCCAGCGAGGGGCUGGCUGGGGGCCCUUGGCAGCUCCCGCUUAUUAAAUGUAUUGAGAAAGUGGCUCCGACAGAGAAGGCUCUGUCAACACUGAGGCUCUGGAGCAAUCCUUUCAAAUGACAAGGAGCCUCUUGCUUUACGUGUGGAAAGAGCUGAGGAGAGGCAGAGAUUCAAUGUGACGCCCAGGACCAGUUGAGUAAUUACUAAUUGCGACUGCGGUGGCUGUGCCAUCUGCCUGAAGUGGUCUUCCAUCAACUGGAGAACACUCAGCCGUCCAACUCAGGGCCUUCUCUCUCUGCUUCCUAUGAUACCACCCCAAAUCUGGGAUGCCACACAAGCGAGAGGCGGCCAGUGGGGGAGAUGGAUCUUAGAACCAUCCUUCUCCGACCUUAGGAAAAUGUCUAGAUCAUCACUUCCCAGGCCUCCCAGCCUCAGCUGAGGCUGAUACAUGGGCUCCAUUUCAACUCUAUUCACAAUGGACAGCCAUUUCCCUUUGUAAAAAUAUAAAUUAAAAAAACAACCCUUGAAUCUUAAAGGCAUGGUUCUUUAUUUGUUAGCUCCAGAAAGCAUAGCUGCAGAAAGCUAUUGAGUAGAUUCAAAAGUUGGCUGCAUGGUUGGCACCCUGUUAGGUGGUUUGCAAAUUCCCAGCAAGGUGUAGGGUUAAAAGGAGUCACCUGGGUUCCUGGGGACUACUCAACUGCUUUCUGCAUCAAUUUUUGUCACUAUGUAGGUUUGGUACCCACAGUCUAAGGUUGAAGAUAGAGCAUUGAGAGUCACGUGGCAGCCCAGGCUUGCUGCAGGGUCUGGAUCAUUGGUCCCUCCCCCAUGAGUUGCACCCCAAAGGAAGAGAAGUCCUGUUCUUCUUAAUAGGACUUGAUAGGAUAAGUCCUUUAUGCUCACUCUAGCACCUAACCCAGUGCAUAGCAGGAACCUAGCAGAUUUUUAAUGGAUGGAUAGGUGUUUCAUUUGUCUCAGGGACUGAGAAGAGAUGCUUCUUUGUAUUUUGGCACUGUCUGCUUUGUUUACAGGUGAGGCUGGGACAUGCAUCUUUUGAAAGGCUUCCAAAUCUAAGGGUUCUUAUUAUACCACUGCUCCCAGGGCUUAGCAGGACCCUCAAGGAUUAAGCCCUGACCACAAGCACUUCCUCCUCGCCCAUCCUCAUCCCUAAACCUGGUCCCAUUCCAGGCAAAUCCUAGGGGUGGGGUUUGAGCUGAGAAAAUUAGACAUGCACACUCCAAUUAAUAAGACACCUUUAUUUGUUCCCUGUGUCUUAUAAAUUUCUCUAGGGUCCAGCCCAUCCUUGCUUUGCUCGCCUUGGUCAAGAGACCAACCUCCUCCUUGCUUCCCAUUUUACAUUCAUUCAACAAACAUUUGUUCAAAGUAUAUUGGGUGUCUGACCCUCUCCUGGUUACUAGAGAAGUAAACUCAUCUCUGUGAGUCUCGAGGCCACUGGAGAAGGGAGAAGUGCAAACGUCGUCCACGCUGGUUCUGACACGAUCGUGUACACAGACUGUACUGGUGGGGGCAGCUCACAGCAAAAGGAGGUCUUCCUUGAUUUUCACACUGGGGAAGUUUGCUCCCUGGUGUAACCAUAUUGUAUCUCAUUUAUAUCCACAGUUUACAACGUGUGGUAUAUAGCUUCUUUACUCUUCACAAUAAUCCUAGGAGAUCAGAGAUCUGAUUUCCACUUGACAGAUGAGGAAACCAAGGCACCACUCAAAAUCCCAGGCUCAGAUGAUGAGGGAAGCUCUGGACCUACCUACCUACCCCACGAUGCUGCCUUCCCACCUGGCCUGUGGCCUUCCUCCCCACUUCAGAUGGAGAACCUGGGGUUCAUCCUUUCAAAGGGGAUAAAGAAAACCUCCAAAGCCAGAAUCCAGUUCUUUACCUACUUACUUUGGCCUCGGUUGCUUGUCUCUUUGUUUUUCAGUUUCUAAACUAUAAGAAAGAAGUAAAAAUAGUGAAGAGAAUGUUCUGUUGCUUCCUUAAUGAACCCACCUGCUGGCUACUGCCUGAGAUUCCUUUAAAGAGGCACAAAUCCCUUCAUUCCGCAGGUAUAAAUAAAAAGCUUAAGAUGCAAAUGCCUAGAAGCCUUAACACACAGAUAUAAAUACGUUCCACUCAAGUUCAGAUGAUAAUAGAAUAUUCCAUCCUGCUUGUUCCAAGAUAGAAAGCAGAAAUAAAAAUCACCAGUAUUACGUAGCUGUUACAGUGCCCAAAAGCUCUUACCAAAAUCUCUUCAAUUCAAACACUAUACAUAUAUAUAUAUAUAUGUAUAUAUUUGAGCAUCUCUUAGGGGCCAGGCACUGUAUUAGGUGCUAGGGAUACAAUGGUAACCAAAACAGACACCAAAACAGUUCCUUGGUCAAUGUAGGCUGAAUAUAUCCCAUUCUGGAAUGUUCUCCCUAAGGCCCACGUGCUGAAGGGUUGGGUUGGGUUGGGAUUUAAGUCUGCAUGAACAUGGAGACUUUUGCUUUUUAAUGGCCAACAUUGCUAUCUCCGACCCCGGUGGCUGGGCCACAUCAACAUCCCGCCCUUUCGACUUUGGUUCCUCUUACUGUCUCUCCUAAAGCCACAAAACACAACCCUCAGAGACAGAGAAAUGGAAGUUGAACGUUCCUGGGGCCUUAGAAGCUCCUCCUCUCUGGCGUCUUCAUUUCUUGGCGGAAGAGUAGAGGGAGAGGCCCAGGGCUGCAAUGUGCUCGUGGAAGAUGCCGCAGAGCUGACACUGCUUCCUAGCUGGUGUGUGGAACUCGAGGGCCGAGAGCAAGAGAGGGGAACAGAGUCCACCUCGGGGCACCGUCCACGUCCCCCAGCUCUGCCUGUCAGCCUGGCUGAUGGGAUACUACAGCCCAUCUUUAAAAUGCAAGCAAAGGUCAGCCACCCAGAGAGCGCCAAUACAGGUUUUAAAACCCCAUUUCAAGACCGCUUGUAUUCUCUACUGUUCAUUUUUUUUCUAAAUCCUUUCAUUGAUGACAUUGUUAAAAAAAAAAAGAAAAGAAAAGAAAAUGAAGGUGAAUGGAAGUCCUCCGCAGUGGCUGAAUUCUGUCUGCUAUGAUUUGGACAGAUCUGGGCAAGUUUUCAGUCAAGGGACAAAGAAGAGUGUUUCCCAAGCUGCGUUCAGACUGGACGAGUCUCACCAAGAGCUUCUCCCUAAAUCCCAGCCCGCUAAGAUGUCUGCCUGCUUCCAGAACAUUUGGAAAUCUGCACAUAGAACAGCAGAUUUUCUCUCCAGGACCAAAGAGGGGGGGACAGCUUGUGCUUCUUGGAGCAAGGGAGGUACCCAUGCUCUCUCCUCUGCCCCUAACUCACCUUCUCUUUCUCCUUGACAGUUUCUUUAAUGAUUAAUCAGCAUAGAGGCCAUAAUUAGAGAUGUCUUAAGUAUCUCUGGAGAGAAGCAAGAGUGGGUUUUAUUCUCAUAACAAAAUGGGCAUCUUGGCCCUGGUCCUCUGGUACUUGGUGACAAGACAGGAGCUAAGAGAUAAGAGGUGGGAGGUGGGUUCUGAAGGUCAAAGGCAGGUGAGGGAAGUCAAGGCAAGAAGCGCUUCCGUAGGAUGUGCUUUCACUCUGGGCAGUCCCGCCCCAGAGGGCAGCCGGGGGCUCAGCUGAUGCAUUUACUUGACACAAAGGACUUUUCUAGAAAGAUGGCAAGGAAAAGCACCUCAUCUCUCAGAACAGCUAACAGAAGGGAGAGAGGAGCAGGACUGAUGUGUCAGGCUCCCUUCUGUCUCCUGUCUCCCAUCUGCCAAGUUUCAUCCCAAAGAGAGCUGCUCCUCCAUCCUUCCAGAUUACGUAAUGCUGUCCCUCCUCUCAAGAAACCAGGACCCAUACCUGACAUGGCCGUGUUUUGCUCAACUCCAAAAGUGAAGGGGCAGAGAAUUAACCUCAGUCCCUCCCCGUGACAGCAAAACCUCAUCCCAGUGGUGCCUGGGCUCAUCCUGAUCGUGCUGACUAAAGUCUGCUUUCACUGUCUUCCAAAAAACAAAAAUAAGCAGAGGAGUAAACGGAUAGGUGGGGACAUUAAUAAGAAGGAGGAGGAGGAGAAGGAGGAGGAAAGGGAACAGGCUGGUGCAUCUAAGGGAAUCUGAGCAGGAACAUAAGGUCCCUGUCUCAGUAUAUGAAUGACAUCAUUUUCUUUCCAUGGAAUAGGUUUUAAUAGAAGAAGGAAAAAAAACAUCAAGAAGAGUCUGGGUGGUUUGUGGAUAACAUGGAGGCCCAAGGAGUGUGCAGAGGGUACCCAGAAGGAAAGGUCCAAAGAGGUAGAGCUGAUUAUGCUUUUGCAAUUUGGUAUCCCGGGAACCUCUGGGUUGGGAGCACUGGGGGAGCGGGAGGGGAACUCAGGAUCCUAGGAUCCCCACUGCUGGGAACCACGUACUCAGGGAGGCGCACAAGUGCUCAUGUGCAGAGAAACCAGUGACCGUGACUUGGUGGAGAGGAAUGCUGACUUUCCUGCUGGGGCCUGCAGAGAUGUCAAGAUGGCCCCCAGUGACUUACUGUCUCUCCAGCUGGUCCUCAGGAUAGACUGUGUGCACCCUUGGGCAAGGAGAAUGGAAGAUAGAAAACUGAACAUCCCCAUUUCCCGAGAGAGAAACAGGACCAGCCCCUCCCCUUGGCACAAAGAGAAACAACAGAGUCCCCUUGAAGGAUGUCCAGGCCCACUCUCUCUGGCCUGCAGCAACUCCCCACCCCCGUGAUUUCUUAUUUGUUUCCUGGUCUCAACCCUGAGAACAUCUUGAUGGCAAAGCAUCCGUUAGGGAGCAGAGCUUUUGUGGUCCCUCUGUCAACUGCAUGAUGGCCUCUUGGGAGGAAGCCCCAUCGGCUUUCUCCUGCCAGAGACCUACAAAAGUUGCUAAGAGCAUCCAGGAACCCCUGGAUCAUGAGCUGGACCCCUCCAAAGAAGGUAGGGGUGGGCAAGAUCUUGGCCUACAGGGUUUGGACCUCUGAGGGCUCAACAGUUGGUUGUAAUAAAUUAACAUUAUUCUUAAGGCUUUCUCCAGCAUGUGCUUCUGCCUUCAGCAGCUCUCUGCUUUAAUAACAAUACUGCGAAGUUGCUGAUGAGCAAUCUACACUCAAGAGGUUGUUAAGAGCAGUUCCCAAGGUUACACAGCUGAUAAAGACUUGAGCCCAGAGUUUCUGAUCCUAAAUUCUCCUCCCCUUCUUUGCUAGAUCCUAAAGAGGAGUCUGAGGGGGGAGACUUUGCCUUAGAUGCCAUGAUUCUCAUUUAAAGACGUGGUUUUAAAUGCUUGCAUGUAAGGCAGGAAGGAGCUCAGAGUGUUUCAGGCCCUGGUCUCAAGAUAGCCCCUACCCCACACUAUCCUGGGUGGCAGCCAUGAAAUCCUCCUCCCUGAGCGUGUUCAUUCCUUGAUUAUCACCCCUCCCACCUGGACUAUUUUGAGAAGAAAAUCAGCAAGCAGUUCCCAGCCUCCUAUUUCUCUCUCUCUCUCCCUCCCUCUCCCUCUCUCUCUCUCUCUCUCUCUCUCUCUCUCUCCCCCCCACCCACCCCACCACCCCUGCCAUCACGCCAAUGCACCAAUGCGAGGCAGAGCCUCCCCUGGAAUUUUAAUAGCAUCCCUCUGCCUCGGAGCUGGGGGUGGAGAUAAGGGUGCUGCCAAGCCUCUCCGUGCUCUCUGCCAGGGUCUGAGGGUGGAUCUCUCACUUCUUCAAUUUGGGAGCCCUUCACGCAAAGACAUCAUCAUGCAAUUAUUAGUGCUCAGUGGAGAGGGGGCGUCGGCUCCGGGUUCCAGCCCAACUGUGUCUCUUCACUUACAAGAAUCUCUUCUUCCUUGGCCUCAGCUGCCCCUCCACGCUCCCUUCUGCACCCUGCCUCUGGCCUUCCUCCUCCAGGCCUGGCGGAGCUGAAGACAAGGGACCUGAUCUGUGGGGAAUUCUGGGACAUCCGGGGAUGCAGGGAAACCCUAUUUGAAGAUCUGGAUCAUUCUAGACUGAAGGCUGUGGGGGCCUGGGAGCAGAGAGCUGGGCCUGCUGCUGCUUCCCAAUCGCCAUCCUCCUCCCUCCAGUCCUCUAGACCAAAUAACCAGAGGCAUCACCAACUUCCUCUGUUAAUCUUUCUUUUUUUGGGGGGUGGGGGGUUUGAACCCAGGGGCACUUAACCACUGAGCCACAUCCCCAGCCCCUUUUAUUUUUUCAUUUUGAGACAGGAUCUCAUUAGGUUGCUUACAGCCUUGCUAAGUUGCUGAAGCUGGCUUCAAACCUCCUGUCUCAGCUUCCUGAGCUGCUGAGAUUACAGGCAUGAGCCACCAUGUCCAGCUGUUUUGGCUUUUCUUGACUUUUCUUUGUACAGUAGCAAUUCCUAGAUUUUUGGGUGGAGAUUGGCGAAUGGGCUAAAAGUAUUUUAGGCCCUGGGGUAAGUGGCUCCAUAUGCAAUAUAAGGAGGUGAUGGGGGAACUGCAUUAAAAUGCUAAUUUUGACUCCUUGCUGGUGUGUGCCUUUGGGCCUACCACUUAACUCAUUUCUGCCUCAGUUUCUCCAUCUAUAAAAUGAGAAUUCUUCCUACCUGGAAGGGUCAUUGUAAGGAAUCAAUGUUCUUUGAGAGUCACUGGUCCACUAAAGGACUCAAUAAAUAUUUAGCUCUUCACCAACACAGGGUCAUCUUGGGUACCUGCUCAGUGCCCUCUGUCCUGAAUUAAAAACCAAAGAAAAACAACACCCUUCACUUUGGAAAUCACCUGGUCCUCGCGGUUCUUUGCUUCUUCUCUUGCAAGCAUAUUGCCACAACCAUGAAGACAUCACGCUCUGCUAAGUGCCCAGUAGAAAGAUCUCCUCCCUUCUAACCCAAGCCACCAAGGCAGUUCUGUUCUCCCAUCUUCUUAAGCUUCCCCUCCCCCAGGCACAGCUCACACACCAUUGGAAGAGAAAGAGGCCAAAGAAUCAUCAGUUGGCUUAUUUGUGUAUUUGUAUCUACUAUGCCCCAAGUAGGAUUUCAGGCAACUCAAAAUAUGCCAGUACAAUAAUAUUCAAAUUUAGAUUAAAGUUCAGUAGAUGAGGACAUUGGGUCAUGGGGAAGUUGAGUGGCUGAAGGGACAGGAGGUAGCCAGGGGUGGAGGUUGACAUAGCGGGGCACCAUAUGCAUGUCAAUCAUGUAAGCAGAUCUUCUCAGGAAGAGCUCAAGGUUGAUUAAAAAAUCCACCUAUUUUCACUGUGUGCCUUACCUGACACUUUUGGUAAAGGAUUAGAAGAGAAAGCCACUAAAAAGGACACCCUUGGCAAUAUCCUCUGUUUCUUUACUGGGGACACCAAGUGAGAGUCAGGAGGAGGUGGAGCCAUGGCUAUUUUCUGCAAUCUCCAGCAGAAUGUGGGUUCAGUGUUUGGCAUCCAGGAAGUGGAAAGCGAUACUUCUGGUUUACAUCACCAAAUUGAGAUAAUUUGGGGGUUAGGCGUGUGAAAUGCCAUUCCAUCAGGAAUUCAAGCAAACGCAGACUUUAUGACAUGGAACCACUGUAGACAUCAUGGUAGCUCAAUUAAUUAAACAACAAACAUUUACCCAAUGACAUUGGGAGUUCAACAUCUAAUAAGAUGGUUAGAGAUGUGUACCCCAUAUACACAAACACUCUCUCUCUCUCUCUCUCUCUCUCUCUCUCUCUCUUCCACUGUGAGUAUUGGAAUUCAUGGAAUAACAGAGCUGGUGGGAAACUUAGAAACUAUUUAACCAUCUCAGGAAGGAGGAUCCCAAGGUUUCGAACAAUGCCCAUCAUAGAGUGAAUGAAUGGCGGCAUGGUGACCUGUUUAGCUCCUGAUGUGUGUCUCUCCCACAUUUUUGGACCUUGUUUCCUUACUCCUCCUCCCUUCCAUCACCUUUGCUUCUGGCCAUCCCCUGCAGAUCUUAUCUCUCCAUCUUCUUCCUUCCUUACCAACAAGUUUGCUGCUGGUAUUUUCACUGCCGCUGGCAGGGAACUCUGCUCUGGGGUCCCUCAGAAGCUGCAGCACCAGGACUUUGAUUCUCCCGGUUUCUAAGGAGUUCCCAAGGUGAGGUUUGGGUUCUUUGCAACAUAGGUGUUUACACCAAGCAUCCAGCUUCCUUUCUGCUAAACUAUCGAUUCUUUCUCUUGGCAGCUGAUGAGAGGUUUGAUGGGGGAAUCUGUCGUCAUUUCUAAAGGAGGAAGAUACUGUGGGAGGAUUUACAGCUGUUUGAAGAAUUCUUCCUCCACCCUCAUGAUUGUUCUAGAGAGAGGAGACUGGGGUGUAUUUUCCCUGGCUGGGAGCUGCUUUCCUGAACUCACUCUCGUUCUUUCUCACUCUCUCUUUUGCUCAGGAAAGAGAGGAAACCCAAGUGCUUCCAAAUAAAGGUCUGAGUAAUGAGAUUGGAUCUGAAGGGAUUGGUUAUUAAAUUCCAAGAAUUUCCAGAUGCAGUCGAUACCACCAGCAGAUUUUGUUCCUUCCAGACGGGCAGAGGAUCUGCACUACUGGGGGAGGGGGGAGGCGGGAAGGACCCAGGGAGGUGUUUAUUGUCGCUGUCACCAUCCCAUUUCCCCUUUAAAUUUUUCUACUGUAAGAGACUUCUCCUGUGCUGUUGCAGCAACUCUCAGCAAGUGAAUAGUGCUUUCUGGGGACCUUGGCUUUGUUAAGUAGAUCUGCAGUGAUACAGUAGAGGUUUUAAUGUGCUGCGCUGUGUUUUAAUAGACUAUUAAACGACAGCGUUGCACAUUAGCUGGCUAUGGCACAAUUGCAGAAAUAUUGAAGAUGUGCUCUCAGGAAAGCACUAUUUACUUUAAUGGGGAGAUGCCGCAAUCGCCGAACAGCCCUCAAAGCAAGCCACGAGGGAGGGAGGGAGGGACGAGAAGGAGGUGUAGCUGUGAUCUAGGCUGAAGCAAAGCCCUCUUCCUAGCCCCUGUUCCUGAGUCCAUGAUGGCAAGUCACCAAAUCAGGGCCGGGUGACUUAUCAAUCCACCUAACAAAAAGAUUCUGCCAAGCUGUGAGUCUCAAGGUCAUCUGGCACCCCAGGCUCCAUCUCACUGGCCUCAAGGUUGGACUGACUUUGAGUCAGGUGGUCAUUUGUCUUAGUUGGGGACAUCGGGGAGCUGGGGUUUUCAUGUUCUUGCGAUUUGUUCUGCUCUCUGUGGCUGGAAUGACAGGAGGACGAGGUAGAUGAGGUUCUACUUUGGAACUGUCAUUUGGCUCCAAGAUUUUCUCCUCCCAAGUGUCCCCAUCUUAGCACGCAUGUGCACACGCACAUCGAGUACACACAUACAAGUGAAUCCACAGCACUGACUGUCAGUCUCAGCAAUAGAUAAGAAACUCAGGAAUUCCAGGGUCUGUCCCCCCUCUCAUUUCAGAGGAGGCUGGAGCAAGUCUGCUCCCAGGAGGAAAACUACCAGGUUCCUUGAUCAGCCGUGACAUCAGAGAACAAGGCCAUAGCUCAAGGCCCCCAAAUCCAGCCUUUAGAAUAAAAUCGUGGGCUGGUUGUUUUCCACCUUUAUUACCCUGCAGCAGAAAUAAACUCCAAGCCUUUACCCCGGUGAGAGCUGCGAACUGCAUUUUCUCCAAAAAUCCAUUCUGACCCAUAGACUUUCCCCUCCUGUGCCUCCCUGCCAUAAGCAGCAUUUGAAAACCAAAUUGCAAAUGCUCAAAGAGGCCAGGGCCUUGCAGGAUAUGCUCCCCAAACACAUUCUUUAUGCAAACCCAGGCCCACAGGAAGCCUGGAAGAGGCAAGGAGAAAUGGAAAGACAGGGAAACAACCCCAAAAUCAGUAGUACAACAAGACUUUCCCAUCUGCCGAAAUACGUUGCUCAUUCAGCCUUGGAAGUAAUCGCUUUUUUACUCACCCAGUGACAUUUUAUUCUAGGUGAGCAGACAAGAAUGUUAAUUUCAUUCAUGUUCUCUGCCUGGUAUUGUUGUGAGGAAGGAAGAAUCGCCUCCUUUCCUUUUUUUAGAUGAAAGCCACCUGAGUAGAGUAGGCAAGCUAAGUGCAUAGGGUGGGCUUUGAGAAGGUUCUGAGCAAGGACGUGGCUUCUCUCCUACAGCCCACGCCAUCUUCCCACCUGCAGAGCUCCAUCCCUCUGGGCUCAGAAGCACCAGUACAAGAAGGCAAUUUCACAGACUGCAUCUUGAAAUCCUUUCAAAAUUAUAUUACAAAAAUAACACGGAGCUGGGCACGGUGGUGCAUACCUGUAAUCUCAGUCUCAGUAGGGAGGCUGAGGCAGGAGGAUUGCAAGUUCAAAGCCAACCUCAGCACUAAGCAACUUAGCAAGACCCUGUCUCUAAAUAAAACAUAAAAGGGGGUGGGGGUGUGCCCAGGGGUUAAGCAUCCCUGGGUUCAAUCUCCAGUACCAAAAGUCUGGGCCUAGGUUUGCAUAAAAUAUUUGUGGAGCAUAUUCUGGAAGGCCUGGCCUCUUUCAGCAUAUAGUCAUAAAUAUUUUCCCCCAAACUGCAUAGGAAAGUAUAAAAUCUAAAGAAAAUGUCCUCUUCAUCUACCUUAUCUCUAACUAACUCUUCAAAGGGAGCCUCCAUGAACAAACCUGGAUUUUAGUUCUUUUAGUAGUUAUUACAGUUUUAAGUGAUAUGUAUUGUUUAUUUCAGCUCAAGAAGCAAUCAAACAAUUCUCUGUGAUGAAAGGAGACAGAAACAUUCCUUCCCACCUUGAUUGUUCCUCCACUUCUUAAAUUGGCUCAACAUCUUUAGGUGACACCUUAGGGAUCAACUGCAAUCUUGGCAACAAGUAGUUAGAGGCGAGCUCAAGGGGAGAGGCUGAGAGGGGCGAGCGACCAGGAAGGCUGGACAGGGAGGCAGGGAGGCAGGAAGGCCGAGAGGGAAAGGGAGGGAGCUGCAGGCUCAUUUUGUUGCAUUGUUCUGUACCAACAACUCGUUUGCCCCCAGGGUAGAAGGAUGGCAGGCCUGCAGAGAGACAGCCGCCUUGGUGGUCAGGGUGAAGGUUUGGAAAUCAAGAGGCAACUGAGUCGCUCCUCCCACAAGGCUUGCCUUCCAGUAAGCCACCUUACAUGCAUAGGUACCCACUCAGUCUAUUUUUUUGUUGUUGUUUUGUUUUGGUACAGGAAAUCGAGCCCAAGGGUGCUUAACCACUGAGCCACACUCCCAUCCUUUUUAAAUGUUGUAUUUAAAGACAGAGUCUCUCUAAGUUGUUUAAGGCCUCACUAAGUUGCUGAGGCUGGCUUUGAACUCUUGAUCCUCCUGCCUCAGCCUCUUGAGUCACUGGGAUUACAGGCGGGUAUCAUUGCACCAGACCGGUGCCAUUCUUGACAUGAGGAAACUGAGGUUUAGGAGGGCUGGCUGACUUGCUGAUUACAGCCACCUACUAAGUGCCAGAGCUGGGAGACCAGCUGAGUCUUCUAACUCCCACUGCUCUGCUCGUUCCACUACCCACAGCCACCUCCACCUGCAUUUGAAGUCAGAAUCUCUCACUGGAGCUACAGACAGUCCUGACUCGGGUGAAGGAUACAUGGAAACGGAUGGUCUGACCCGAAGAGGACUGCUCUGUUAGCAAGAAAACAAGGAGAAACAACUCUCCUUUUUAUACCCUGAAAUCGUUCCUCCUUGCAAUUAAACUGAUCUCUGUUUACAAGUAUUUAGCAUGAUUCUAGAAAUUGCAUUUUGAAAUUAUGCGAACAGAGAGAGAACGCAGCCCACACAGUGAGUGAUUUCUCUUGGGUAAUUGGCUGCUGGUUCUGGCUCCAGCAAUGUCUUCUUUUUUAGAGCGUAAUUAGUGAUUUCAAAGGAAACGGUUAGAAAUGGCCGGGGUCUCCAAAGAAAGGCUGUUCUAGCUCCAACCGCCAGGAGAUCUUCUCAGAAGCGUACCGACAAAACUUCCCUGUUGGAUUUUCUCAAGCUAUCUUUCAAAGAUUCGAAAGUCCAUCGAUGUAUUAAACUCUUCCAGAUAGGAAAGAAAUCCCAGAUUCCAUCAAAAGCAAGAUCUCUUUUUCCUUCUGUUCUUCCUACCCUCUUUCCUCCCCCACCUCUUUCUCUUUCUUUCCCCCAAUCUUUCUUCUUUGCAGAAAAGAUACAGAUCAUUUGUAUUUUAAUCAAGCCUGCAUUAUUUUUGUUAGAUUUCGAUUCAAAAGUUUAAACAAGAUGACAGCGUAUUUCUCUCUGCAGUAGGCAAUCCUGGGCUGCUAUGGUGGUCCCAUGUGAGAAACAAUGAGGCUUUUCUAUCUUUCAUCCUCAAGGUCACCCCAGGAUCCAAGAUGGCUGCCACAGAAAGUGAUAAAGAAGCGUUGACUCAGUUGUGGACUCUACUGAAGCCGAGUGGGGGUACCAUUGGGCUGAUUUGAAAGUGAUAGCAAAACCAAAGAUAUUUCUUAAUUUCUCAGCAUCGUCUUAGGAGCUUGGGAUGCAAAAGAGCUUUGUCUUUUGACUUAUUCUAUUCAAAAAUGUUAACCAUGAUUCCCAUGAAGAUAUUGAGAGCCCUCUGCCUGUCUCUACAGAAGGCACUGACUGGGAAGGUUAGCUACCACGUCAGAUAAUAAAAUCAGGAUUCAGAAGCUCUGGAAAGGCUGCAAGCCUGUUAAAAAGUAUCAAGAGAAAAUUUAACAGGAAGAAAUACAAAAUUCAAUCUUCAGAUCCAAAAAAAUAACUGUACUAUGAUUCCAUUUAUAUGAGGUACUUAGUCAAACUCAGAGAGAGGAGCGUAGUGAGGGAAAACAGUGCUAUGGUUUCAAUAAGUGUCACCAAAGGUCCCUGUGUCAAGGGCUUGGUUACCAGCCAGUGGUGCUAUUGUGAGCUGGUAGAACCUUCAGGAGGGAGGGUCUAGCAAGAGGAAGUUAGGUCAUUAAAGGAAUGCCCUUGAAAGGGAUCUUGGACCCUAGCCCCCUUUCUCUCUCUCUCCCCCCCCCCUUUGUAUCCUGACUGCCACAAAGUGGGCCAUUUCCUCCACCAUAUGCUCCCUGUCAUAAUGUACCGCCUCACCUCAGACCCAAAGCAACAGGGCCAAAUGAGGAUGGACUGAAACCGUGAGCCAAAGCAAGCCUCUCUUCCUGAUAAGCUGAUUAUCUCAGGUAGUUUGUCACAGUGACGGAAAGCUAACUAACAUAAAGUGGCGCUGAGUUUCAGUUUUGCAACAUGAGGAGUUCUGGGAAUGGCUGCAGGACGUAGUGGUGACGGUUGCACAAUGAUACAAAUGUUCUUAACACCACCGGACUGCACAGUUAAAAAUGGAUCAGAUAGGAAAUUUUAUGUGUAUUUUACGAUAGAAGAAAACCUGAAAGCUGUUCAAGUGCAGGAUGAGAGAGACAUGGCUUAGCUGCAGAUUUCGUCUCUGUAUUAAAGUGACAUGUGGCUAUCAAAAGAUAGAUCUGGAUCUGGCCUCUGACAGGAAGGAAAAUGGAAGUCAAGAUUUCUGACCACUACAAUAUACAGUGCCCUUUGAGGACCCUUAAAAGGGUUCUGGAAGGGAGAGUUGCUAUCCCCUGAAUCACAAGUGAGGGUCCAGGCUCAUCAUCUAGUAAGAACGAGUCUCAGUUCCUUCCUUGGUCUACACUUCUCUCCAAAGACAUGAUCCCUGUACAGUAAAGUUGGAGGGAUGGCAAAGCCCUGCUGUUCACUGCUGGCCCUGCCUGAAAUCCCACUGUAGUCCCAGUUCCGUGGGGAGCAGGUCUAACUGGCUCCAGGCAGCAUUUUGCUUGCAAGGGGAAUGCUUAGCCAGGUAGUAUUAACAGCAAUUACUUUAUCUGAUUAAGCAAUUAGCAGUCUUUGUCACUUAGCAGAGAUCAGGGCCCACAGAAACCAAAGCCUAGCAGAGAAGAUAUGAAGGGAAACCAAAGAGAAGAACUGUCAGGGGAGCAAUACAGAUGCUGAGAGAGAGAGAGAGAGAGCCAGGUCGGUGCCUGCUGGGAGGGGAGGUGGCACGGGAACCCACCUCCGCUCAUCCUUCAGGACAGAAGAAGAAAUGGGGGAACAAGGUCAAACGAGAAUCUCCCAACUGGUUGGUUCCAACUGGACCAUUCAGUGGUUCUCAGCACUGGCUGCACAUCCAAAUAACCCCGGGAUUAUGAAAAAGUACCUGUGCCUGGUCCCCACCCCACACCAAUUAGAUCAGAACACUGGAGGAGGGGCCCGCCGUCUUGUUAGAGCAUCCAGGAAACCCAGGGUGCAGGGCUGGCUGGCCCUGGAGAUCCCUGAGGGGGUGGUCUGCAGGUACAGCUCCACCCAGGGAUUUCCCCGGAGACGGCUCUCCCCUUCUCCUUCUUGGGAGCUUCGUUACUAUCCACACACACCCUCUCUCCACCCAGCUUCAUGGGUCUGGAUGAAAGAACUUCCUCAUCCAAGGGUGGAAAUCCAAGGAAAGUGGAGGAUCCCAAAUCCUGGAACAAGCCAGCCUGGCCUCUCCAUCAUUACCAGGACAUUGGUUGGAUUUCCCUCCACCCCAUGCCGACUUCUCAGCCUCCCCCUGGCCCCAAGUGCCAUCUGGAAUGUCCCCUCCUCCGGGAGCUCUCUUCAUUCAGGCUGAUCUUAAACUCCAACUCUUCCAUGAAUUCUUCCCCAAUUUCAAGAAAGGGAGGCUACCUCUGCUGGUCUUGCUUGGCAUGCUUAUGCAAAGCACUUCAUGAACUUGUUCUUUGCUGUUGUAAACUAGCCCGGGUUUUACCCCUGUGUCUAGAGGGCUCCAUACAGAAAGUUAUCAGAAAAGUCAGCUAGACACAAGGAUUCCCAGGGAAUACCCCCAAACAUUCUAACUGCAACGCCCAGGGCUGGCUCAGUGCUGUGGUUUGGGAUAUCCCUUUGUUCCCAACUCAUGGCACCUUUGGGAGGUAGUGGAACCUUUCAGAUGUGGGGUCUGGUGGAAGGAAGUUAAGUCAUUGGGAAUUUGUCCUUGAAGGGGAUGUUGGAACUCCAGCCCCUUCCUUUCUCUCCAUUUGCUUUCUGGCUGCCCUGAGGUAAACAGGCCACCUACACUAUGCACUCCCUCCAUGACAGAUGUGCCACCACAGAUCCAAAACAAGAGGGCCAAGGGAAGAUGGACUGAAACCUCUGAAUUAUGAGGAAAGAAAAACCUUUCUUCUCUUUCAGCUGGUGAUCUAAGGUAUUUUAUAACAGUAACGGAAAGCUGAUCAACACACUCAGCCAUACAUGUUAUUAAAAACCCUGCUUACUUUUAGCCAAGUUUGCUUAUUGGCUCAUACAGUUUGGUAUAAAACGUUAAGGAGGAGUCCUUCUUAGGUUACUAUAAUUUUAUGUGAUUGCCUAUUUUUGGGGGUGAGGGGGAUCAUGUUUAAUUGUGUUACGUAUUUCUGGCCCAGGAUGCAGAAGAAAGUGAGGAAAUUGAUUCUCAUUUUAUACCCCAGUAAGAAGAAACUUUUCCACCAAAGAAAUUUAAAAUUCGCCUCCUAUCUUCACAGCGUGAAGAAUGCUGAUUGCAGCAGGGAAUGAAAAGAGAAUACAGACACAGAACCAAGGUGUGGGGAGGAGAAGAAGUUAGUUGGUGGAGAAUGUAAGUCGAACUAGAGAUUUUCUGCAGAUGAAACAAGAGAGAGAUACUCUAACUCAGAUCUCCACGGUGACAGCAUCAUGGGACACCUGGCAAGGUCCCAGUGAAGGAGCCUGCAGACCAGACCAGAGUAGACUGUCCUCUUUGACCCUGACCUCGGGUUCUCAUUUGUCCCUGGAGGAGGAGAAACUGGAAAUUGGUAUUAGAUUUCCCAGAGACCGUGUCCAAGUAGCUAUGCAUGAAUAAACAUGGGAGUAAGAUACAUUUCUAGAAUGUUCUC
rnacentral:lncRNA from 1 species